rnacentral:rRNA from 2 species
UACAGAGGUCUCAAGCGUUGUUCGGAUUCAUUGGGCGUAAAGGGUGCGUAGGUGGUGCUGUAAGUCAGGUGUGAAAUCUCGGGGCUCAACCCCGAAACUGCACUUGAUACUGCAGUGCUCGAGGACUGGAGAGGAGAUUGGAAUUCAUGGUGUAGCAGUGAAAUGCGUAGAUAUCAUGAGGAAGACCAGUGGCGAAGGCGGAUCUCUGGACAGUUCCUGACACUGAGGCACGAAGGCCAGGGGAGCAAACGGG